rnacentral:lncRNA from 1 species
AUGCCCCCGGGGACCGGGGGGGUGACAGAAGUCCCAGCCACCCAGCCUGACGCUGAGCCGCUUCUCCACGCUGGACGAGGACGCCAGCUGGCUCGGGAGCCGACAGCAGGGCGGGGCUGCCGUGGACGGGCCUCCGAAGCCCAGCAGCCGCUGCACCCACCGGUGCUGCCCUCGUCCAGCCACAGGCUCCCUCCCAGGCUGCCGGGGGAAUCCAGCCCGAAACUGGACGUGCAGCGCCCAGGGGUCCUGGGACCAGGGAGCCAACUCCUCACCCCGGCCCCCAGAGCCAGCCAGCCCCCUCCGCCCCUGUGCCCUGGGGCAGCUUUCUCCCUGCGCCUGCCUGUUCUUCGGGGUCAGACUGGAUUCCAAGCACGACCAGCCAGAGUACGGUUCCUCCCGGAGACCUGGGCUGAAGCUGGCUGGUGCUACAGGUGGACUUUCACUGCUCCAAGGGAGCAGAGCCUGGGAGCCCUGUGGGAGCUGUCGUCCCUGGGAGCCCCAGGGAUGGGUCCGUCGGCCCUCCUAGGUCCUGGGUCACCUGGUGGUGUGGGCUCCUGGGCAGCGGGGCCGGCUGACAACAGAAGCCCUGCAGCCCACCGCAGGCCGCACUCAGAGGCACCCGGGAGGUGCACCUGGGUCAGGGGCUUUGCUGGCCUGGUGCCCACGCCCCUGGGCGGAGUCGGUGGGAUUCGGGUAGUUCCCAGAGUGGGCAGGUAACCCCCGCCUCGCAAGGCUGGGGCCGGCCCUGAGCCCACUGCUCAAGCUGCCUGGGUUUCGGCCAUCAAGGGGCAAUAGGUUCCAGUACCGUGGGUAGAAGAGUGGCCAGUGCGAGGACCCAGCCUGGGCUGGAGGGGACCGGAGUCAGGAAGAGCCCCCGGGAGCGUCCUGGGCAGAGGGAUGAGAAUUGAGCCACGUCGUCUGUGUUCCUGGCCGGGAACCCGGCCAGGGCUGUCCCGGUCUGGCCCAGGGAGGCAGGGCCUGCGACACCGGCCGUGCAGAGGAAGCAGGCCCUGGCUUCAGUGGGCGGCAUCUGGAGCUGUCCAGGGAAGGCCCCAGGGGGAGGUGGCCUGAGUCCCAGGCAACACGCAUCCUGCCGGCUCCAAGGCUACUCCCAGCUCACUGCAGCCCAGCCCUGGCCCCUGCCCACCUCUCUCAAACCAACGGGGGGGGGGGGGGGGCUUUCAGCCCUGGCCCCCGGCCCCCCUCUCCCCCACCGGGGGGGGGGGGGUUUUUCACCCCGGGCCCUGCCCCGCCUUUCCCCCCCCAAAAGGGGGGGGGGGGGUUCUUAACCCUUGGCCCUGGCCCCCCCCCCCCAAAAAAAGGGGGGGGGGGGGUUUAACCCCGGGCCCCUCCCCCCCCCCCCCCCCACCAAAAGAAAGAGGGGGGGUUUUUUCCCUGGGCCCUGGGCCCCCACUACCCAAAAAAAAAAAAAAGGGGGUGGUUUUUUAACACCGGGCCCCGGCCCCUCCCCUCCCAAAAAGAAGGGGGGAGGGGGUUUUCAAGGCAAGGCCGCGCACCC